rnacentral:misc_RNA from 1 species
CCACCAUUGUAAAUCAAAUACUUGCCACGGCUAAAUGACUUCUCUGACUCAACCACAGGAAGUGAAUCAUUCACAGUUUCCCCAACAACAGGCAACAGCACUGGCUUUUGUUUUCCUGCAGGUGCCUUUUCAAACCCAGGUUUCUGAUUCUUCUUCCUCUUCCUUGCAUUUACGCCUGUAUGGUAAUCGCCAAUCCCCACAACACUAAGUGUACAAUUCUCUGAUCUACCUAUCACAAAUCGCCUGUAAUCCUUGUAAAAUGCAGCAGUCUUCCCUUCCUUAGGCCUAAAUCUCCAAGCCAUGUCACAACUACUAUCAUUAUUGGCAGGAACUGGUUUUCCAAACCUAUAAAAAUGUAUGUCCUUAAAAUGCUCUAUUGCCUUUCUCAUCAUCAAAUG